rnacentral:miRNA from 1 species
AAGCCACCAGAGCUCUGUCCUCA